rnacentral:tRNA from 2 species
GGGCGCUUAGCUCAGUUGGCUAGAGCAUCUCGUUUACACCGAGGGGGUCGGGGGUUCGAGUCCCUCAGCGCCCACCA